UACAGAGGUCCCGAGCGUUGUUCGGAUUUAUUGGGCGUAAAGGGUGCGUAGGCGGCGGAGUAAGUUGGGUGUGAAAGCCCUGGGCUCAACCCAGGAAGUGCACUUGAAACUUCGGGGCUCGAGUUCUGGAGAGGAUGGCGGAAUUCUCGGUGUAGAGGUGAAAUUCGUAGAUAUCGAGAGGAACACCAGUGGCGAAGGCGGCUAUCUGGACAGUGACUGACGCUGAGACGCGAAAGCGUGGGGAGCAAACAGG
rnacentral:rRNA from 1 species